rnacentral:misc_RNA from 1 species
UGCGCCGGAUCCCUGCUUCGGGCAGCGACGGCGUACCUCUCACGACUCCUCAGUUAUGGCCCAAGUGCGGCAUAGCCUUGGCCGUGACCCGGUUUCCUGUGUUGCGUACCUACACGAAGGCAUUCGUUCGUCCCAACGUCCCUCGUUCGUCCGGCGGUCCGCUUCUCGGCGGGUCACGAGACGAAACUCGCAGCAUGGCCCCGUUACCCGCGUCGCUUCCACGCCGUCGCGGUGAACGGGCCAUCGCUCGAGCUCUCGGAUACGGAAAGCACUGUGGGCAUUGAGGUCUCGCGGCCUCUUAUCGUUGCCCGAUCACGCAUUAGACACCAACGGUGCACGACCGUCGCUCCCGUCUCGGCCCGGCCGUGCGGUGACGACGUCGUUGAGGAAUGCUACCUGGUUGAUCCUGCCAGUAGUCAUAUGCUUGUCUC